rnacentral:rRNA from 1 species
GACGAACGCUGGCGGCGUGCUUAACACAUGCAAGUCGAACGGAAAGGCCCUGCUUUUGUGGGGUGCUCGAGUGGCGAACGGGUGAGUAACACGUGAGUAACCUGCCCUUGACUUUGGGAUAACUUCAGGAAACUGGGGCUAAUACCGGAUAGGAGCUCCUGCUGCAUGGUGGGGGUUGGAAAGUUUCGGCGGUUGGGGAUGGACUCGCGGCUUAUCAGCUUGUUGGUGGGGUAGUGGCUUACCAAGGCUUUGACGGGUAGCCGGCCUGAGAGGGUGACCGGCCACAUUGGUACUGAGAGACGGCGCAGACUCCUACGUGAGGCAGCAGUGGGGAAUAUUGCACAAUGGGCGGAAGCCUGAUGCAGCAACGCCGCGUGCGGGAUGACGGCCUUCGGGUUGUAAACCGCUUUCGCCUGUGACGAAGCGGGAGUGACGGUAAUGGGUAAAGAAGCACCGGCUAACUACGUG